rnacentral:rRNA from 1 species
GAUGAACGCUGGCGGCGUGCCUAAUACAUGCAAGUCGAGCGAACGGACGAGAAGCUUGCUUCUCUGAUGUUAGCGGCGGACGGGUGAGUAACACGUGGAUAACCUACCUAUAAGACUGGGAUAACUUCGGGAAACCGUAGCUAAUACCGGAUAAUAUUUUGAACCGCAUGGUUCAAAAGUGAAAGACGGUCUUGCUGUCACUUAUAGAUGGAUCCGCGCUGCAUUAGCUAGUUGGUAAGGUAACGGCUUACCAAGGCAACGAUGCAUAGCCGACCUGAGAGGGUGAUCGGCCACACUGGAACUGAGACACGGUCCAGACUCCUACGGGAGGCAGCAGUAGGGAAUCUUCCGCAAUGGGCGAAAGCCUGACGGAGCAACGCCGCGUGAGUGAUGAAGGUCUUCGGAGCGUAAAACUCUGUUAUUAGGGAAGAACAGAUGUGUAAGUAACUGUGCACAUCUUGACGGUACCUAAUCAGAAAGCCACGGCUAACUACGUG